GUGUCAGCAGCCGCGGUAAUACAGAGACUGCAAGCGUUAUUCGGAUUCACUGGGCGUAAAGGGUGCGCAGGCGGUCGCGUGUGUCAGGUGUGAAAGCCCGGAGCUUAACUCCGGAAUUGCGCCUGAAACUACGUGACUAGAGCAUUGGAGAGGGUAGCGGAAUUCACGGUGUAGCAGUGAAAUGCGUAGAUAUCGUGAGGAACACCAGAGGCGAAGGCGGCUACCUGGACAAUUGCUGACGCUCAGGCACGAAAGCGUGGGGAGCAAAAGGGAUUAGAUACCCCUGUAGUCC
rnacentral:rRNA from 1 species